GGGGGUUAUAGUUUAAUCUCCUAGAAUA
rnacentral:tRNA from 1 species